AUCAAGGAUACAUAGGAGGAGGACUAAACCGUAUGAAUCAAAACAUUGAUAGAAGUAGAAAUGUUUCCAAAUGGAUUGAUUAAGAGACGAGAUACAUGUAAAAUCAAAGUAAAAGAGUAGCUAUUCUUGAUUCAAGUCAAACCUGUAACGAAGCAUGUAGAAUUCCAUAGAUCUCUUUGAUUUGAGUUUUGAUUUUUGAUGACUUGAAAUUCGAUACCACCGAAAGAGUUUCGGCCAGAAGAGACGAGAUAAAUAGAGAACGGCGAAGAAAUUAGGGUUCCGUCGACUGAACGAGAGAAGAGAGCGAUGUUUGUUUUAUAUGCGCAGAAGAACGGUCAAAUAUCGUGUGAAUAAUAAGAAACCAGAAGUUUUAUAGAAAUUUUUGGUUUCAGAUGACGUGGAUUAGGGUAAAUGACGUGGAUUGGUGACAUGGAUUAUCAUUGUUUAUUUAUUUAUUUUUCAAUUAAAAAC
rnacentral:sRNA from 1 species